AUGGCAACAUCUCCGGCAUGCGCGAUAUGCUCGGCGACGGAAGAUACAUGGUGCCAUUCUCUGCUGAACUGUCGCAUGGCUCGGUGUGUCUGGUCAUUGGGAGAUGAAGGAAUCUUGGGGCAUGUAAUAUCAAACCAAUCUGAGGAUGCAAGACAGUGGCUCUUUUGGCUGUUUGAUACGCUCCCACGAAAUGACCUAGCCCAAGUGCUUAUCACGAUGUGGUCUAUUUGGUGGGCUAGGAGGAAAGCAAUCCAUGACAAUGAAUUUCAGAGCCCUUUAUCGACUAUGAGUUUCAUCAACCGCUACCUGCUGGACUUGGAGAUCACCGCAACUUCAUUAUCAAGGCCUAUGAUGGCUGCGCCGCCGCGUGCGACGCAACGCCGAUGGCUUCCCCCGGCAGAAUCAGAGGUAAAAAUAAACGUGGAUGGAGGCUUAUCUCGAAAUGGCGACAAAGGUGCAGCAGCAGCUAUCUGCAGAGACAGUACGGGACGCUUCAUUGGAGCUUCAGCGGUCGUUUUUCACGGCCUCUCUGACCCGGCUAGUUUGGAAGCGUGGUCAUGCAAUGAGGCUUUGGUCUUGGGCCAGGAUCUACACAUGCAGCGACUACUAACCGCCUCUGAUUGCGUGAAAGUAAUCACAAGUAUCAACAGAGGUACAACUGCAGUUUAUGCGCCCAUUCUGAAUGAAAUAUCAAUUCGUAGGAGUGAAUUUGAGGAUGUUAUCUUCCGCCAUGAAUCAAGGGAAUGUAAUAGUGAGGCUCAUAGAUUAGCAAAGGCUGCGUCAACUCUUGACGUUGGUCGACAUGUGUGGCUAGGGACUGUCUCGGACAUCAUUUGUAUUCCAAACAUUUUGAACUUUGAAUAA
rnacentral:rRNA from 1 species